GACGGAACUUUUUUCCCCAUCAGAUCG
rnacentral:piRNA from 1 species